GGUCAGGUGGCCUAGUGGUAAGGCACCCCAGAGCUAGUGGGGGGACCCAGGUUCAAUCCCUGGUCUGGCCA
rfam:Pisolithus microcarpus 441 unplaced genomic scaffold scaffold_509, whole genome shotgun sequence.